UACAGAGGUCUCAAGCGUUGUUCGGAUUCAUUGGGCGUAAAGAGUGUGUAGGCGGUGCUCUAAGUCUGUUGUGAAAUCUCCCGGCUUAACUGGGAGGGUGCGGCGGAGACUGGAGUGCUAGAGUGUGGGAGAGGUAAGCGGAAUUUACGGUGUAGCGGUGAAAUGCGUAGAUAUCGUAAGGAAGACCAGUGGCGAAGGCGGGUCUCUGGACAGUUCCUGACGCUGAGGCACGAAGGCCAGGGGAGCAAACGGG
rnacentral:rRNA from 1 species